GACGAACGCUGGCGGCGUGCUUAACACAUGCAAGUCGAACGGAAAGGCCCUGCUUUUGUGGGUUGCUCGAGUGGCGAACGGGUGAGUAACACGUGAGUAACCUGCCCUUGACUUUGGGAUAACUUCAGGAAACUGGGGCUAAUACCGGAUAGGAGCUCCUGCUGCAUGGUGGGGGUUGGAAAGUUUCGGCGGUUGGGGAUGGACUCGCGGCUUAUCAGCUUGUUGGUGGGGUAGUGGCUUACCAAGGCUUUGACGGGUAGCCGGCCUGAGAGGGUGAACGGCGACAUGGGGACUGAGAUACGGCGCAGACUCCUACGGGAGGCAGCAGGGGGGAAUAUUGCACAAUGGGGGGAAGCCUGAUGCAGCAACGCCGGGUGCGGGAUGACGGCCUUCGGGUUGUAAACCGAUUUCGCCGGUGACGAAGCGUGAGUGACGGUAAUGGGUAAAGAAGCACCGGCUAACUACGUG
rnacentral:rRNA from 1 species